UGAGGGAUAGCUCAGUUGGUAGAGCAUGAGACUCUUAAUAUCAAGGUCGUGGACUCAAGUCCCAAGAUUCCUACAU